GGCAAGAUGGCCGAGCGGUCUAAGGCGCUGUGUUCAGGAUCUUCUUGAGUAUCGCAGUCCGAAAGGGCGUGGGUUCGAAUCCCACUCUUGUCA